rnacentral:lncRNA from 1 species
GAUACACAUUGUACAAUAGAGUAAGAAGCUCCUGACAAAAGAGGAAGAUAAGAGAGGUGAAAAGAAUGGUCUGCCACCUAGGACAGGAAAGCUAAGUGCACCUGCUGUCAGUGAGCGAGGCAGUUUAUGUUCCUGUCCACAUUGUGUAUUACGAUAAGAACCUCCUGAAAAAACAGCAAGUCCAAUGAGAUGUCAAGUAUGUGGUACAAAAAGGCCUGGAAAGCAAAACACAUGUGCUGUCAGUGCAAGCAAUACAUGUAUAUGGAAUAUGCUGAUUUCAUGCGUCAAGACUACCUUAGGAUUCCAGUUACGGAGAGCUACUCCAGGGAGUCAUGGCAUAGCACCACCACCAAGAGUGGAAACACAGGUCCUUCUAUGGGAGUGUCGAUAGUCUAAUGAACGAGUAAAGUAAGAAUGUUGCUGAUUUAUGGAGCAUUACGAAAAACUCCUCGCUUUACUUCCUUAAGCUCCCUAGGGUUGGUCUCAAGACAGAAACACUUAAUCAGAUUCCUUCUGUAAAGAGCUAUCCUCCUCCACAGACACACCACUUCACAAAAUGUGGGGGGUCAAAGUCAGGAGACUGCUUCAGAAACCUUUUUGUGCGAUGGUUUAUGGAACGGAGCAAAAGUACACAUAACCCCAGACAGACUUACAAGUACAUACUUGUUUAUCCAGGUAGAAAUUCUGAACCUUCUAAGUCUGCCAUUCAUGAGAAGGUAUUUCAUUAUUCAUAGACUGGUUAUAAAGUAUGUACUUAUUUUCCAGGAAAUGUAAGUAGAGAAAGACAUGCCCAUGGGGUUACAUAAAACCCUAUCUGUGCCGAAGACAUUUGACUCAUUGUUCAAAACAAAUUUGUGCCUCCACAAAUAUGACUCCUGUUUAAGUGCCAAGGAUGGUGAAGGCUGGCUGCCUGCUACAUAAGUGCUUUCUUCUACACUCUGCUGGGAUAGAGUCUGGUAAAUGACACUGUGUGUCUAUGGGUCCUUGGAAUAUCAUAAUUUAUCGUUUGGGAGAUAUGUGUAUUUUUACAUACUUACUUUUAUAAAAGGUUUUAUUUUGCUGUUCAUCUCCCU